UAGGGAAUAUUGGACAAUGGGUGCAAGCCUGAUCCAGCCAUGCCGCGUGCAGGAAGAAGGCCUUCUGGGUUGUAAACUGCUUUUGCCAGGGGAUAAAAGGCCCGUGCGCGGGAAAUUGAAGGUACCGGGUGAAUAAGCCACGGCUAACUACGUGCCAGCAGCCGCGGUAAUACGUAGGUGGCAAGCGUUGUCCGGAUUUAUUGGGUUUAAAGGGUGCGUAGGCGGUCCUGUAAGUCAGUGCUGAAAUAUCCCGGCUUAACCGGGAGGGUGGCAUUGAUACUGCGGGACUUGGGUAAAGUUGAGGUAGGCGGAAUUGACGGUGUAGCGGUGAAAUGCUUAGAUAUCGUCAAGAACACCUAUAGCGAAGGCAGCUCACUAAGCUUUAACUGACGCUGAGGCACGAAAGUGUGGGGAUCAAA
rnacentral:rRNA from 1 species